AACGAUGUCUUUUUUUAAGCAGUGAACUUGCCACACCGGCGCUAGCUCUCACACACUAGCACAUUUGCUUGCACAAACCACACAAACUUUAAGCUUAAGAAGCUUCCCAGGUGGUGGUUGGAGAAAUUUGGGAAGGAGAGAAAAAAAGUAUUCGAAACAAAGUAGAGGUAGAAACACACGAUUAAUAGAAACUAGUUUUAUUUUCUUAUUUUUUCUUUUUCUGUCUUUUUUUUUUUCCCGUUGCUUUCUUUAAACAGCAGCUAGCUUGAUUUUGAUAGCUGGUUUUGGCAAAAGGAAAGAAAAAAAAAUCUACAGCCCGAAAGGAAGACUCAAAGUGUUUAAAGGACGCUUAGAAUGUAGCGUUGUGGCAGGUUGGGCUUAAUGAGGAUUGAAAGCUUUAAAAGAAGUUAUGUUGGAAUAUAUACAGAUAAACAUGCAUACAAAGACAUCACCAUUGAUGACUACCUUUGAAGUCGAAAGUUUGUUUUGUUGAAGAUUCCAUGCACAUCAGAGACAGGACACAAGCUGGAUCUGACCUGAGCAUUCUGGUGGAACUUUUUGGAUCACUUAGUUCUCCAGGAGGACCAACUUUCAUGGCACCAGAUGGCAUCACACAAGCUUCUAAGGGAGAAAAACAACCCAAACCCAUACCCAGCUAUGUCGCUUAUGAACCACCAUGGUCAUAAUG
ensembl:lincRNA Gm29478 predicted gene 29478